rnacentral:rRNA from 1 species
UAAAACCAGCACCUCGAGUGGUCAGGAUGAUUAUUGGGCCUAAAGCAUCCGUAGCCGGCUCAGUAAGUUUUCGGUUAAAUCUGUACGCUCAACGUACAGGCUGCCGGGAAUACUGCAGAGCUAGGGAGUGGGAGAGGUAGACGGUACUCGGGAGGAAGUGGUAAAAUGCUUUGAUCCUUCGAUGACCACCUGUGGCGAAGGCGGUCUACCAGAACACGUCCGACGGUGAGGGAUGAAAGCUGGGGGAGCAAACCGGAUUAGAUACCCGGGUAGUCCCAGCUGUAAACUAUGCAAACUCAGUGAUGCAUUGGCUUGCGGCCAAUGCAGUGUUGCAGGGAAGCCGUUAAGUUUGCCGCCUGGGAAGUACGUACGCAAGUAUG